AUUGAACGCUGGCGGAAUGCUUUACACAUGCAAGUCGAGCGGCAGCGCGGGGGCAACCCAGGCGGCGAGCGGCGAACGGGUGAGUAACAUAUCGGAACGUACCCCGUCGUGGGGGAUAACACAGCGAAAGCUGUGCUAAUACCGCAUACGACCUGAGGGUGAAAGCGGGGGAUCGCAAGACCUCGCGCGAUGGGAGCGGCCGAUAUCGGAUUAGCUUGUUGGUGAGGUAAAGGCUCACCAAGGCGACGAUCCGUAGCUGGUCUGAGAGGACGACCAGCCACACUGGAACUGAGACACGGUCCAGACUCCUACGGGAGGCAGCAGUGGGGAAUUUUGGACAAUGGGGGCAACCCUGAUCCAGCCAUUCCGCGUGAGUGAAGAAGGCCU
rnacentral:rRNA from 1 species